AGCUGUUGCAUUACAACUCUUCGUCUUGCUAUACGAGAACAGCUUCAUUCAACUCGUCUCGCACCUGCAUAGCGAUAUGGACAGCCUAACCAGCAGCAUGGGUUCCCAUACACUCAACGCCAGCAUGAGUAGCAUCAGCAGUCGCAGCUCCAGUAGAAGCAUACUGAGCGGUGAGCCGUGCGACGC
rnacentral:lncRNA from 1 species